GUGAUCCUUGUCACCAUGUCCUCGCUGCGUCGUUCAAGCUAUUCUUUUUUGUAUUUCUUCGCAAAUCUGAAGACUGCUUCGCAGGACAAUGUAAGGGAGUCCAUUUUCUGUUCUCCGGAAACGACGUUCGCGGUUGUCCAGCCUUUUCCAAUUAGAACAGAGCGGAACACAUGCUAGCAUGAAGCGAAUGUUGACUGUCUUGAUGACUUUAGAAAAACAUCGACAUAUCAAACUAAUCGUUGGUAAAUAUGUAUCUGUAUUAACCCUAUUUUGUUUUACAUAUUUUGCCUUAUUGCGAAUGAUAUAGUUGGUGGGUUUUUGUCGCAAUGCUGUUUUUUUUUUAUAUUUGACAUCUUUUUUAUAUAGAAAUUGUAGCAUUGACUUUUGUCAUUCCAAAUGACUAGAUGCAGGUUUUUGGUCAUUAUAUACCUUCUAGGUUUUUGUUAUUUAGUUUGGUCAGUUCCUUGUGACGCCAUGUAAUGUUGUUAUAUAUUUUGACAUAUCGCCUGAAUUAGACGAUGAAAAAUGUUUUCCACCGGCCGUACCCUCAUUGUUUUCACAACUACACUAAUUUAUUUCUUACAAAUAGGCCGUUUGCCUACAUUCUAUUUAUCACCUGUAUUUGUACAUGUAUAUAUUUAUUACUAGUAUCUCGCUUCUGAGGUUGUGGUUUUAUUGUAAGACAUUCUAUAUGUGCUCAAAUUUUCCGAGUCAUGUUUUCAUAUUAUCUAUAAAUAUAUAUUUUUUCAAACAUUGUUUCUUUUUGCUUCCAUGAAUAAUUCCAAUAAACAUUGAUAAAUU
rnacentral:misc_RNA from 1 species